rnacentral:rRNA from 1 species
UGGUGGAGUGAUUUGUCUGGUUAAUUCCGUUAACGAACGAAACCUUAACCUGCUAAAUAGUUACACGUGGCUUCGGUUACGUGGGCAACUUCUUAGAGGGACUUUGCGUGUCUAACGCAAGGAAGUUUGAGGCAAUAACA